CUCCAAGAAAGCAGAGAUUAUUAUUUUUUAACAUGUUGCCUAGAACAUAGUAGUAGACCUUUAAUAAAUAUUGGUGGAAUAAACAAGUGGGAAACAGAUAUUUAUCCAAUGUCUAUUAUAUGUCAGUUCUGUUCUAGGCACUGGGGCUGUGGUGAUGAAUCAAGCAAACCCAAAUCUAUGAUCUCUUGGACUUUAUAUUCUAAUGCGGGGAAACAAACAGUAAACAAAUAAAGCAGGGAAAUGGAUGCUGCUUGGGCGGGGUUGUGCUAUAUUAAAUAGGGUGAUCAAGGGAAGGUCUUGCUGCAGAGGUCUGAAGAAGGUGAGAAGGGAGACACCUGAACAAGAUGAGGAAGAUAAGAGGGGGAGGGGAAGUGAGUCUUUCAGCACAGGGAGCAGGAAGUGCAAAGGCCCUGAGCAAACAGUAGGGGGUGGGGGUACUGUGGUUAAAGCAUGGAGCUCCUGGGAGAGUGGCAGGGGAUGCAUCUGAGAGGUUCUGGUGGGACAGCUCCAAUCUUGUAGAGUAUUGUAAGCAAUGAAAGUACUUUGGUUUUUACUUUUGGUGAGAUGGGAAGCCAAUGAGGGGCUUUGGACACAGUGACAUGAUCUGACUUAGGUUAUAAUGGGAUCCCUCUUUUUGUUCUGGUGAUAAAAGACUGUAGGAGGCAAAGGUGGAAGCAGUUAGGAGGCCAAUGCAAGAGGCGAUGGGUGGCUUGGUCCCGGGUGAUGGCAGGGAGGUGGUGAAACAUGUUAAUAGCCUGGAAGAAUUCUGAAGGCAAAACUGACAGGAUUUGCUGAUAUGAUGAACAAAGUAAUGAUACAAAAAUAUGUACAGAAUUGAUAUGAAAAAGGCUUUUCUUGGAUUUACAAAAAAGAGACUGGUUUCUUUAGGGCUUUGACACUGAUAUUACAAAUAGUAGCCCAGCCGCCUAGAAAUUCAGCUUUGGAACUUGGAACUUUUGUGUCAGCUAUUAUUUAUACCAAAGAACAAACAAAAAAAGAGUGGUCAAAUAUAUUCAGUAUCACAAUCUGUACUUGCAGUUAAGUGAGCUGGUCUGGGGCUUGAUCUUAUUUCAGUACACUGACAUGCAUGAGAUAACUGUUCAGCAGACAUAAACAUUUCAAAGUAAAAAUGACACACAUCCAUGAGGAGACUGUAAAGCCCAUCGGGUAGUUACACAAAAGGGGAAACAUUAUUAUCAAGAACAAAGAUCUCGCCUGAUUUAUACUGAUUGACAGUCUGUACUUCAGACCGAUCUGAUAGCUGCUCAGACUUCUGACCCUUGCCUACCAGGCUACACUGAAAGCUCUGUGGAGUCUAUUCCGUCUUACGUUAUUCUUCUACCCGGCGCGGCCGAAUGAAUACCUGGUGCACAACCAAUGAACCAUUGACUUGAUGAUUGCUAAACAUUCUUCACUACCCUCUCUUCCGUCCUCUUUCUGCAGUGCUCAGGAGACUAUUUACCAAAGUCAGAGAUUAGAUAAUCACUCACAGACGCGUCAUGUCAGAAUGUGUUGGGCGUUAGGGUUAGGGCACUUGGAAGGGGCCAUCCGAAGCCCCACCCACCUGAGGAGUCAGGGUAGCUUUCCCGGGGGAGGAGACCUGGGUGCUGCAUUGUGAAGGGCGAAUACGAGUGCGAAGGGAGCAGGAGUUAGAGGACCGGAAGGGAUCUAGAGCGGGCCUUCAAAUGUACAAGGACCCUGAGACUAGAGGGCACUUGGGAAAGGGCUGAACAGAAUGACCCAGGCCCGCGGGAGAGCGGGUGCGCCUGGACCUUUGGGAGGAUAAAGACGCAGGGUUUGAAAGAUUUCUUCUGAGCAUAAAGAAUUUCUUCUUAGAGAAAGAACUUGGAAGAACACAGGCACCAGGGCCAAAGCAUCUACAGGUGGAUUGUCUACAAGGGGAAGAGCUUAUCUUAAAUUUGAGCUGCAAUCAAAAAUAAAGAGAAUGAAACAUGAAAUAAAUAGUUUUGUUAUGCUCAGCUUUCUCAUUUUAAAGUGAGAAGAUAAUCUUUUAUGGAAAAAAUAAAAAAGCAUUCAAUUAAUUCCCGAGGCAUGAGGUAAAGAGAUAUAUACCCAGGAGCGGAAUUGCUGGGUCAUGUUUUUGGUUUUCGUUUUGGUUCUUAGAGGAUUCUUGUGUGAGAGAAGAGGUUAGACUGGAGGCUUCCAUAGCACUUCCACUGACUGAUUAGUUUAAAUUUAUCCCAUCAGGCAUCAGAAUCCAUUUUGUUGUUUCUAUUUGUGGAGUUCAAUCGUGAGACAUCAAUUUAUCGUAGCUGUGGAAAACUAGCAGAAGGUCCAGAGAAAAGCCAUGGAAACGAUGAAUAACUAGGAAGAUGGAAUUCAACCAUGUAUCCUGGAGAGAUGACUGUAACAUCUUACCAAGAAAAGAGACUUUCUGGAUUCCAUGAAGAAGGAGGAAAGUCUACAUCAAAUCCAGGUCAGUAUCAUGUAAUAUUACAUCUCUCUACCAACAUGAAUUAUCUUACAUGUUAAACAGAAACAUUUAAAAUAAUGCACAUUCCUUUUGAUGUGGAAUGUUUCCAUUUUCCUUGGGCUGAUAUGUCUGAUCUGUGUGGCUUUGGGUCUUUGCCUUGCAGGUGCUUAAUGCGGGUGGGAUCCAAAUGCAUGACAAAUGGAAUAUUUACUAGAAGUUAAUUAAGAGUUCAAGAGAAAACGGGAGGGUCAAAUAUCUGUGCAUUAUGGAUGAAGAUCAUAGUAGCAAUUGGAUUGAAUUCAAUUCAAGAAACACUUAUUGAGAGUUAACUCAGCCUGUGUCAGGUAGUAUGAGUAGUGUGGUCAGUGAAACUGAUGGUCUUCCUGCCCUGGUGGAGCUUACAACCAAGGGGUAGCAUCACUCAUCCCAACUUUCUUGAAAUGUACCCUCAUCUUCUAUCAUAAAAUGUAAGUAUUUGAGGUGUUCAAAGGAUGCUGAAGCUGGGAGUGGACUGUAAAAUGUUUUACUGGGAGAAAGAGUUUUUCUCUUUCUUAUAUUCUAUGGUAUGCUGGGCACAGUCGGUUGGAAACUCCUUGUCAGCUCCCAUGAUGUCGAGCUCAACACGUCGCUGAUAUGCUUUCCUAAGAUUUUGAGAGUCAAACAGAAUCUGUCUUCUUUAGGUUAUCCCAGGACCCCAAAAGGUCCGUGUCUCCUCCCAAGAAUAGAAACACUGUGUGUGUUUGUGUCUUGUUCUUCUCCGGUACUUUCUAUCUGCAUGUCAUCCUGGGCACCCUUAGAGGCUGUGUGAUAUAGUGGAAAGUUAUGGGAAUUUGGAAUUAUAAGAACUAGGUUGGAAUCUGUUUCUUCCCCUUCUUAGCUGUGUGUGACCUUAGGAAAAUUGUUUAAUUUUUCUUGGUCAUCAUCUUUCUCAUCAUUUUCACAGCCACCUUAUGAUUUUAGAUACUAUUAAGCCCAGUUGACACUUGAAAAACCAGAAGUUCGUCAAGGUAAGGUAAUUUUCUCAAGAACUAGGGUUCAAAUACAUGGGGCUUGACUUUAGUGUCCAUACUUAAGGACUCAUUUAUGUCAAUUAUUAAGAGCUGAACACAGUAUUUGGUUCAUAGAGAAUCCACAAUAAAAUGCAAUAACUAUGAUUAUGGUUGUUAUGACUCAGAACCAGGAUAAUGGGAGUAUUUACCAAGGUGGAAGCAAAAUCUCAAUGGCAGACCUGUGCUAGAGUUAUUUUGGAGUAGAGAAUCAUUCUCAUUCAACCUCUGACCCCAACCACAUGUAAGGCUAACCUUGAUUAGAGUGGUAAAUGUCAUCUGUAAUUGAAAGAUCUAAUUUUUAUAAUUCUACUUCUGCUGUAAAGAAAAAUUACACUUUUGACAUUUUAAAUUAAUGCUUUAGAUAGCCCUGGAUUGACAUAUGUGGUACGAGGGGCCUUAAACCAAGAUCUAAAAUAUAGAGAUGAAUCCUUAAUUAAUGAGUUAUGGGUCCUGAUAAGAGGUUAAAGUUAAAUAAAAUAUCUGAAGCUAGUGCUGUUUUGAGGUGUUUUAAAAUGUUCCUAUUUUACAUCCAUUUUUAAAAACAGGGCAAAAUGUAUAUAGAUUUUCAUAUAUGGCAACACAUAUAAAAGUUUUGGCUAAUGAUACACUGUUAUCUCUUUGGCUCAGCAUGGAGAAAUGCAGUCUAAUUUUCUUAUCAUUUCCUCCUUAUCUUAUUAGCAUUUCAGAGGUUAAUCCUCUGUUAACACAUCUUCUUAGAGUGCUCUUGUUUUACACUCACAGGUUUUAUUUAUUUUUUUUCCACCGUAGAGAGCUAUUGUCCUCAUUUUUUGUUGCAUUUAGGUAGGGGAUUGAUGUUGUUCAAGCGUCAUGUUUAAGGAUGUCUUUCCCGUUCUUUCCCAUUCCAUUCUUUUUUUCAAGUUUUCUGUUGCAUCUGAAAUAGUCUCUAAGUUUCUGGAGAGGAUUAAAAAAUCAUUUUAUAGCAAAAUUUAGAGCAAAAACUAUUGCAGUUAUUUUUCCUUCUUUGAAACAGUAUCAAAUCUCAUUUUUCUGCAUAAUGGUGACCCAGAUUAUCUGGUUUGGGUAGACAAACAGGGCAGUGACUUGACCAUGAACAUGUCCACCCUCACAAGUCCUUGGGGAGGGUGAAGAGCUUGUGAUAUGGCCACCAAAGCAUGUGUGCUGCUUGAUUUUCCACAGAACUAUGAAAGUUCAAUUCAAAUAAUAUUCAUUAAUGGACCAAUUUUUUUUAAACCUACACCAAGUGAAAAUGAACUUAUUCAGAAGCUGCUGGCAACACCUGACUGUGGCUUUGAAGAUCUGCACCAGCAAAUCUAACCCAAAAUAUUCCUGUUUUUGAAGGAAGUGAAGAAGAAAACUCAUUGCUUCACACUUACAUAAACACUUAUAAACAUGCAAGAAAACCAGUUUUGUUUCUAGAGUGUAUGUCAGUUCUUUUGAGAUGAAAAAAUUCAGACUUCAGGCCUGGGACCUAACUGGAAUUAUUUAUUGUUAAUGAUUUAGUGUUUUAUUUUUUCAGAGUUCAUUACUCUUCAAGGUCCAAUAACAAUGAUAAAUGAAACUCACACAAUAUUGUAAAUCAACUAUAUUUCAAUUUAAAAGAUAACAAUAAUAAAAAAGAACUUUUUCUUUAAUUAUACUCCACUGCCAAUGAGACUGUACUGUGGAUUUUUUCAAAAAAGAAGUAAGUAAAUUUGAAAAUUCAAGACAUCCUCCUCAUCUGGAAGGGUCCAUUCCAUCAUGAUCCUUUAAGUAUUUUGUUCUAAAUAAAUUUAGACAAAUGAACACAUCUGAAAUAUUUUGUUUGGGAACUCAUCAAGAAACUCCAAAGUUGUGAGUCUUAGUGUGUAUUUACUGAAAAUUGUAAGAGCCAAGAAAGGGAGAGUCAGUUUUAGGAUCCUAAGAAUAUAUAAUUAAAUCACCCUGCUUUGUUCCAUAGAAGUGACUGAAGACUUAAUGGAAUCCAUUUUCAUCUCUAUUGUGAUGGUGUUUGUGACAGAGACAAUUUGCAUGAAAUAGAAGCUAACCUGCCUCAUGAAAAAAAUGUAAUAAAGGUUUCUGUUUCUGCCACUGAAUCACAAUCCUUUCAAACUCUUCUCCUCAGUGCAUUUAUCCUUCUUAGAGAACUCUAUCGGAACCCCUUAUAAUGUGUGUGUGUGUAGAAAGGCAUAAAAGUCCAGUGGAGUUACUAAUCAUGGGGGAGAUGGAAGAUUAACUUCUUUCUUAAAAACUGAAAGAAUCUCAGAACAUGUCCUUUUAUUCUACACAGGUACGAGGGUCUGGAAAAUGUCUUCUUUAAAUAUAGAGGUAUUUUUAUGGGGCUCUUAAAUCUUUGUCUGAUACCGUAGUUUCCUCCCAUAUGUUUAUUGUCAACUAACAGCUGAGAACUGAUGAGCUGGGUGGAAAUGUUUUGUAUAGCAGCAGUUCUUCCUUUCUGACAACUGUUUCUUUUGUUUAACUCAAACUUCUUCUAAAAAAAAGAAUACGAUUUAUUUGCAUAUUUUUGUCGAUAGAACAUGACCAAUAAGGGUAGUUUUUGCAUGAUGUGAAAGGGGGUUUUGUUAGAUACAGUUUCUUUUAUUGUGAUUAGAAUGGAUGUGACACAAACAUGCUGUGUUUUGGGAAGAUCACUCUGGCCAUAGUGAGGGAAAUAAGGUGAGACUGGAACCAAGGAGACCAGAUUGAAGGGUAGUAGGAGAGGUAUGGAGAAGGGGGAACAGAAUUCAAGGAUUUUCUAGGAAGUAGAGUUACUGGAAGGGAAAUUUAUUGAGGGGGGAAAGAGGAUUUAUUAUGACUCAAAAUGUCUUCCUUGGGUGAUGGUAGAUAACAUUGAUCGAGAUCGGGAAUGCAGAGGAAAGAUGCUGCUGUGACAUUUUGCGAUUGAGAUGCCUUUGGUACCUGCAUGUGGUUCAGGUAGGAGUAGAGCUCAAAAGAGAAAUCUGUAUUGGAGAUUCAGAAUUGGUUGUCUUCAUCCAUAUGACAGUUGGGAGUGUGUGGUUUGAGAAGACAAGGGGAAGGAAAAUGAGAAAACCGAAACAAGAAAGGGUGGGUAGAGAAGACGAGGUUGUGAAGGAGUGUCAGAGAAAGGAGGCAAGGAUGCUUGAGUCUCCUCACCAUCACAUGAGGAGUGCUUGAAUGAACAGCCAUGUUUGGAUCUGGGGAGAGCAGAUCCUUCCAAGGGUGGACUGGUGUGCCUUUUAGUCUUUUAAAAAGGGACUAGAUUUAGUCUGUGUUGCUCCUCCUGAGGGUACUGAAGAACUUUAUGGAAGUAAAUUCUGCUUUUGUUUAUGGAAGCACUUUCAAAGCAUGGAAACACACAACAGGGGAUGUAACUACCCCCAAAGCAUCCUUAGCUGCCUCCCCAUUAAAGAGAGCCUUACUGCCCAUCAAUGAAGAAGUAAGUCCUGAUUGGAGGGGGCUGGUGGGGACACUAGAUGACUUCCAAGAUUCUCUGAAGUCUAGGAGUCGAUACAAAGACUAAAAAAGUCAUACUUUUUUAUGAAAGUGCUUUGCAAAAUUUAAGCUCAGCUUCAAGGGGACAGUACAGUGCUAUAGUGACAAACACACACUCACACAGUGAAGAGAAAUGGCAUUUCCCCUUCAUGUUGGCAUUCCCCCAAAUUGUGAUACCUUAGUCCCCCUUAUCCUAUGGUGUAAUAUUCAGGCUUAGAAAUUAUAUAAAUUAACCAUUUUGAGGAAAGAUCAGACAGCUUUUCUUGCCUUGUUAUCUAUUUGUAUUUGAAAAUAAGGAGGUACCUUUAUAGAGGUUUGUAGUCUGAUAGUCAAAUGAUUAAUAUUGUUUUUCCUGCAAAAAUAUGAUCUUUCAUAAUACAGAUUUGUCACUGUGCUAAUUCCACAUCAGGACCUGAACAUGUCUUAGGUUCACUCUUAUUGUGGCACCAUAAUGCUGUAACUGCUGUACCAAAGAAGACUCAGAAACAUAUAUUGUUCAUGGGGAAUCCUUGAGAAUACAUUAAAUGAAAAUAGCCCAUAAUAACCAAUAAUUUGAUCCUGUUAAGCCAGGCAGAUGUGGCAGGGUUAGGAAGGCUAUUAUUUAUUUUACAGAAACACAUUUCUGAUGGAACAUGUAGAUUGAAGUUAGCAUGUUGGGAUUAGAACUAGGAGAGGACUUGAAUGGAAUUCUGGUUGUUCAUAUAAUUUCUCCUGCUCAGUCACAUAGACUUUAUUAUACCAAAUUACAAUUUGCAUCAUUCAAAUGCAAAUGAAUGUUCAAAGCCCUGUGUGGGCUUCAUGUAAUUCUUUUUGGGCAAGAGCUGCUCAAUGCUGUACUUAUUUGAAAGAAUUCAGUGAUGCAACUGAUUCCAAGAGAAAAAAAAGAUGUGAAUUUGGAAGUGUUCUUCUUAUUGGAAGGGAUGAUAUAAUCAUAUCAAAUUCGCAUCUGGUUUUAUUUUGCUGUCUCUCCUCUUGGUUUCCCUAAGUGUAUAUGACUUAUGGGAUACAUUAUAUCUCUUUACCUGACUUUCCUUUGUUUUCCAGUCUGAAUCCUCCCAGAAUCAUGAUCCCGCUUAAGUAUUGACUAUAAAAGUGAGGAACAGAGAGGAAAGUUUUGAAAAGCGUAGAAAGCUAACAAUGUUAUCAUGGAAAUGUGGAAAUGCAUUCAAUGGUAACACUUCAUUUUUGGCCUUUAUGAACCAAUCUCGCAGUCAGCUAGACUGCUCAUAAUGCGGGACACUUCAUAAGUCACCAAACCUGCCUUGCCGGUUUAUUUUAACAUCUCUUGUUCUCAAAUGUAAGAAAAUAUUCACACAGCUUUUAAUACUCUCCAGCUGUUCGUU